GGGGCUGACUGGAAUUGACAGCAUUGGACAGUUGGUAAGUAAGCAUGUCGAGGUAGGUGUAUUCAUCCUCGUAAAAAUCGAUACAUAAACAAAUUUUAACUGGCAAUGGAAACUAUGCCAUGGCUGCCUAAUCACUAAGUGAUUACAUGCCAUUGUGCCGUGCGCUUGACGUCUAAUACACAGCGUGCCGCACAUCAAUCAACCACUUAGACUAGCUACUUUUGGUGUAUCUCCACCAACUGGGCGAAACAGUAGAGGUUAAGGUAGUAAUCCGUUCGUGAUCAAACCUCUUACUACUCGAAAAACCGAUUGAACACUACACAUGUAGAAAGCUUAUUGACGCUUUGACUGGACGAGGGUUCGAAUCCCUCCAG
rnacentral:tmRNA from 1 species